AAGGCCUUCGGGUCGUAAAACUCUGUUAUCAGGGAAGAACAAGCAUCGUUUAACUGACGGUGCCAUGACGGUACCUGACCAGAAAGCCACGGCUAACUACGUGCCAGCAGCCGCGGUAAUACGUAGGUGGCAAGCGUUGUCCGGAAUUAUUGGGCGUAAAGCGCGCGCAGGCGGCUUCUUAAGUCUGAUGUGAAAGCCCACGGCUCAACCGUGGAGGGUCAUUGGAAACUGGGAGGCUUGAGUGCAGAAGAGGAGAGCGGAAUUCCACGUGUAGCGGUGAAAUGCGUAGAGAUGUGGAGGAACACCAGUGGCGAAGGCGGCUCUCUGGUCUGUAACUGACGCUGAGGCGCGAAAGCGUGGGUAGCGAACAGGAUUAGAUACCCUGGUAGUCCACGCCGUAAACGAUGAGUGCUAAGUGUUAGGGGGUUUCCGCCCCUUAGUGCUGCAGCAAACGCAUUAAGCACUCCGCCUGGGGAGUACGGCCGCAAGGCUGAAACUCAAAGGAAUUGACGGG
rnacentral:rRNA from 1 species